UUGGGAUUUUUCUUUGUUUUGUACCAAAAUGAUAUUUUUUAGGUUCCGGAGCAUUUUUUUACGAAACUCAAGCUCGGGUAUUUGGAAAUGGAAACCUAUAGCGUCAUGCUUUGCAGAAUUCUUCAAAUGGGCCUAAAUUUAGACAUGGGCCUCCUUUGUAUCCUCGCGAAUCAUGUUCCUCGAUCCAUGAAACUUUUUCGGCGCCAAAAUUAAUACAGGCACCUUCAAUGUACCGAGCGGACUCCGAGUCACAAUUUUUCUUGUGUAGAAUUCGGAGACAUGGUUCAAAUUUUUAUUUUGGGCAUCAAACCAGGCACCCAUCAGAAAACUUCUCAGAGGCCCAAAUUUCUUGGAGGUCCCAAAACUAACAAGGACACCCAGCUACAAUUUUUUUUUUUCCUUUCAAUCCUCCUUUUCUUCUCUUUUUUUGUUGCUUCGUCAGUUCGUUCGAUCCCAAACCGAGUAGAACAUGAGCUCGAUACUGAUCUUCUGCGAGUCUGAAUUGGAGAUGGAUUUGUGGACACAAUCUGACUGGAAGGAAUUGAAAUUGGGGGUUGGAAUAGAACCCGUGUGGAAGACGAGGUCGUGGCCGGCUUCACAGGAGCAGAAAUUCCUCUCUCACUUUGGCUCUUAUCUAGCUCCUCCAGAGACUUCUUUAAUCUGUGGGUACAAAACAAGUACAGGAGCUGUGGUGUCAUAAAUUCCAGAGUUCCAGACUUUUGAUUUCAACGGUAUAAAAGGCAAAGACAACAAUUGCAGUCAAGACUCCAGAGUUUCAAUUCGAGGGUGAGUCUGACUAUUUAGACUUUGUUUAUUUUUAUUUUUUUUCGUGUGUUAUCUGAGUUGGUGCUUUUGGGAAGAAAGCAUGAAAUUUGGGGACAAGUUAUAUGGUAUGGUGGUUUGAAAAAGAGACGAGGAAGGGAGAUUGUUCGUGUUGGUGUUUCAAAGGCAGGCCCUUUUCAAUUUGACAUGGUGAUAGGAGGGACUUUUCUGUUUAUAGAACAUCGGAGACGCUGCUCCGAUAUAUUCAUCGAGACGCUGCCCGGCAUGAGUUCAUCGGGACGCUGCCUGGCAUGUUCGCGUGUUCAUCGGAGACGCUGCUCCGGCAUGUUUUCUUUUUUGCAGCAUCGUUAAGCAACCUGUGAACACAAAAAAAGUGGAGAUCAUGGUAGGAGGGAGUCCCAACCUUUGUGGUGAACUUCACACUGUUGGAUUCUUCUUGCCUGCAGCAGGGUCUCGGCUAUCUUCUCAUCUUUCUCUGUGUGUCCUCCGCGUCACUAUUGCUAGCUUUAUAUAGUGGACUGGUGGAGAGUUUAACAUGGAUGUUGUUGACUUCCACAUGGAAUGAAAUAGCUAGAGUCUCAUUAAUUCAAGGCUCUUGAUGAUGAAUUGUCCUUAUCUUCCAUUGAGACGUUCUCUCCUGCUGUUCUUAUUCUUUCUCUAUUUUUUAUCAUUAUUUGGCUGGAACUUUAUCUUGUAUAAUAAAGAAAGCUACCAGCAAAGUGUGGCACGUCA